UACGUAGGAGGCAAGCGUUGUCCGGAGUUACUGGGCGUAAAGGGCCCGCAGGCGGUGGAGUAAGUUUGGAGUGACAGUUCCCAGCUUAACCGGGAAAGGACUUCGAAAACUGCUCGACUUGAGGACUGGAGAGGAAGGCGGAAUUCCGGGUGGAGCGGUGAAAUGCGUAGAGAUCCGGAGGAACACCGACGGCGAAGGCUGCCUUCUGGAAAGUACCUGACGCUGAGGGGCGAAAGCUAGGGGAGCGAACGGG
rnacentral:rRNA from 1 species